GUGAAACUGAAAGCACUCAAGCUCUCAGUAAAACAAGGCACAGCCUGGGCAGGAGUCAAACCGACAACCUGAAGCAGCCACUCCCCUGUCCGGGACACUGAAGGAAGGAGCUGGUAAUCAGUAACUAGUGUGAGCGGUGAGAUCGUGUGAUCGGAGCCACAGACAUAACUCUCGUGAGAGGUAAGGCCAAGCGAAGGGACGGGGAACGGCAGCAGCUGUGGGAUUGCCACGACGGAGGUAUAGAAGGAGGGCCAGCAACAGUUCAGGAUCGACAAUAAACACGUGUUGUCACCGAAGCCCACAUCCUGUGAAUGAACCAGUGAUCGAUGUUCAGAACUGACAUCUUGCAGAGAGGAGGAGCGAUCCAUUAUCACAGUUCAAUGCGAUGGAGGUGGGUUUGCGCAAUUGAAAUGUUUCAGGAUCCAGGUAACAAAGAAUGCAACGUGAGGAAAUUGUGAAAAUGUCAACAGCUCAAGUUCCAGAUCACUUUUGCUGGAACCAACAUGAACUAAAGAGAACAGAGACCAUACAACACUUUGUAAAUCAGUUUUCUAAGUGGCAAUGUCGAAUGACGGGAUACAUACGUGAACUACAAGAGAUUGCAAACAGUAUUGAUCGGUAUCACAAAGGUGCCACAAUUGCAAAUGUCACAGGGUCUUCUGCAGGUGCUGUAGGAGGUGUGCUUACGUUUGCAGGAAUAAUUGCUGCUCCUUUCACUGCUGGUGGCUCCCUGAUAUUCACCGCUGUUGGAGCGAGCAUAGGAGGAGCUGGUGUUGUCACUAACUUGACAGCUAGCAUCACUGAAUAUGUUACACGGUCAAAGAUGCAGAAAAGGGUAGAUGAGAUCAUCAGACAAUAUAAAAAUGAUUGGAAAGUUAUAUCAGCACACUUGACGAACAUCGACAGUAAUCUCCAGUUCCUGUGUCUUCUUAGUGAGGAAGAAAAUACCGAAUGAGAUUGUAAUGAAGGCACAACAGGGGAUUGUCAAGGGAACAGCAAAGUAAAGCAAGUCACCAGUA